ensembl:lncRNA
AGUACAUUCUUUAUUUGGUUCAUUUGACAAUCUGACACUUUUACCCACCAUAGCCAGCAUUAUUUAGCAUGAACAAUGCCCAUUCUUCUUAUGCACUGAGCAAUGGGUUUCACUUUUUAAAGUGCAUUAGGGACUUUUUGUUCAAAUGGUUACACCGAAAGUAAAGACAAGCAUUGUGUUGACUGUCUACCAUAUUAAAUCAGUAUUUUCAUCAAGUCAUUUGGGUGAGCUAUAGGCCUACUGGACAUGAGACUCCAUGUGAUACUUUUAUUAGGUCUAACUCCUAUGUGUAGGGAGAGCAAAUUCAUUGUUAUGCCAUAUAAUGAACUACCAUACUGAAGUUUGUACCCUGUUGUAUGACUGUACUGACUGUACUUAUGCUGUAUGCCAUAUUUGAUUUAAAAGCUGUUUGUUUUGUAAAUUCACUCCUGUCAUUUAGUAAGGAAUGUUCAGUGUUUUAUUUAACCAAUGCAUAUUUUAUUCCUAUUUUACUUUUGUUCAUGUUCCAUCUUUUUCACACAAAUCUCCUUCUGCAUGGACUCCUAUGCCCUGCUUAUCAGAAGUGUACUUAUUUAUCUUCGGGAAUGGUCAGAAAAUUCUACAAUGCGCUUAGUGAUAAAACUGAGGUAAACAUUAAUUGUUUUAAGGUAUCUUUAAUGUAUAAUCCCAGUGCUGUCAAACACUAGACUUUAUGUAGUGUUAUGGUAUUUUUACAAUAUGACUGAAAUAACUAAAUUGUGAAAGUUAUGGCAGUUUCUUGUAAAAGCUGUUUGGAAAAGAAUGCCUGGAAUCUCAAGAUGUUCAGGUGAGAUGGAACUUUUGGCUUUAUUUGUGAUUAUAAUAGACCAAUGACUGUUCAUGUGAGAAAAGGGGUGGGCUAUAGACAAUUCUUGUGUACUUUGGCUCAGGUGAAUAAAUUAUACAAAAAAUAUGAGUUAUUUUCAUUAAAUAAACCAGGAUUAAUAAGGAAUAGAGUGAUUAAAAAUGCUAUUACAAAGACUACAGCUGGACAUUGAAAUAACCACUUUGUCAGGCUAGACCCUAAUACAACAUUUUACUCUGACUUUAUGUUGCUGAAAUUAUUAGUCCUCCUCUAUAUUCCUAAUACAGCAUGACUAAAAUAAAAACAAAAUAAAGCAGUUACUUUGCCAUUGACAAUGGGUCUUUCUUUUCUAGGAAAUCAGGAGGGCAUGUCUUUUCAAAUGUCAAAGCUGUUGCUAGGAAACUAGUUGCCUCAAGGGUAAAUGUUACAGUCAUUACAGAGGAAAUUGAACAGACAGGGUCUCUGUCUUCUACUUGGCAGUGCUACAAUUCCCAUUAAUGUCUAAUGAUAAAUCAUUAAGCCCAAAAUAUUGCCAUAAAAUUGUUAAAUCAGAAUCAGUGCA